CGUUCCCUACGGGACGCAGCAGUGAGGAAUAUUGGUCAAUGGGCGGGAGCCUGAACCAGCCAAGUCGCGUGAAGGAAGAAGGUACUUAGUAUUGUAAACUUCUUUUGUCGGGGAACAAAGGCGGAGACGCGUCUCCGGAUGAGUGUACCCGAAGAAAAAGCAUCGGCUAACUCCGUGCCAGCAGCCGCGGUAAUACGGGGGAUGCGAGCGUUAUCCAGAUUUAUUGGGUUUAAAGGGUGCGCAGGCGGGAGGUCAAGUCAGCGGUAAAAUGUCGGGGCUCCCCCCCGGCCGGCCGUUGAAACUGG
rnacentral:rRNA from 1 species